UUUGGGGUGCAUUCGAUCUCGAUGAUGUUGGCAUUUAUGAUAAGGAGGAUAGCAAAGUUGUCAUUGCAUCUAGACAUCGUGGCAUUUGUCGUGAGAUGUGUGUUGAUCAUAUCAUCAAUGUACCUCGACUCUCAGAUGAUGAUGCUUGGAAUCUUUUUGAGGAAAGGUUGGGUCGGAAGUUGAAUUCAGAUUUUAAACCGUUAGCUCUCCAAGUCAUUAAGGAGUGUGAUAACUUGCCACUUUUGAUUGAUAAAGUGGCAAGAGCUUUUAGGAGGAAAGAUGAGAUCCUUUUGUGGGAGGCUGGAAAAUAAUGUAUAUAAUAAAUAUAUGAAGUAUGUAAUAUGUAUUUAGCUCUAACAUUUAAUUUAAAUUCUAAAUUGAAUAAAAUUAAAAACAUAUAUAGUACAUAAAAUAAUUUUUAAUUUUCAUGUAUAGCUUUAUUAUAUAACAUUAAAAUAAUUAAAAAUAAAAUAUAUUUAUUAAUAUAUAGUUAACGUUAAUUAUCUAUUAAGUAUAAUAUUUAAAAUAAAAUUUAAUUGGUCAUCAAUAAGGUUAUUUUAGAAUAUUUAAAAUUUCAUUAAGGGUAUUAUCGGAAAUUUCAUUAUUUCCUCUCAUUCCCGCUUUUAUAUAUAGUAUAGAUAUAGAUAUAGAUAUAGAUUUAUUUUUUCACUUAUAUAUUUGUAGUUUUAACAUUUAUUUUUGCCGUAUAAUACAGAACAGACAUGGCCGAGGUAGUUUCUGCAGCAGCUUCUGCAGGAGCAGUUGAAGUGUACAAAGAUGUGAGAAAUGCAGUUGCUUCUAUUGAUCAAGUAAGAGACUAUGAGAGAAGGCUAGAUAAAAAUUCUGAAAAACUAAAGGAUGAAGCAAAAAAGCUCUAUGCAAGGAAGGUUGAUUUAUUAGCCAAAAAAAAUAGAGACAGGACAAAGCAAACUACUGAAGAAUGCAAUUUGUGGAUUGGGAUGGUCAAGAAACUUGAAAAAGAUGUGCAAGCCCUCUUAACUGAAUAUGAAGAAGAAAAGAAACUUCAGUUUAGUUUGGCGCGUUUUCUUCAUCGUUCAGAUCUUAGCAAACGCAUCGUAGAAAAAUGCAUUGAACUGCAAAGUUGUUGGUCAGAAGGGAGCUUUUUUGCUACGGAUUUUAUGGUUGAGAGAUCGACGAGACCUAUCAUUAAAGCGAAGGCACCAAAAAUAGAAGACAAAUCAAUACUAUACGAUGUUUUUGUAGAGAUAUUGAACUUUUUAAGCACGAAGGAUGUAAGAAGAAUUGGACUUUGGGGAAAGGUAGGUGUUGGCAAAACAGCAAUCAUGCAGAAUCUAACUGAAAAUGAAAAAGUAUCUAAAUUGUUCGAUAUAGUCUUCUUUGUAACCUUAAGCGAUGAAGGGGAUAAAAAUAAGCUACAAGAAAAGAUUCAAUGUCAAAUAGCACAAGAACUAGAAGUGAAUUUAGAAGGGUUUACUGAAACUAAGAAAAUUGCUUCAAUAAUAUCAGAAAAGUUGGAAUCCACUAGAUAUCUACUUCUUUUAGAUGAUGUUUGGGGUGCAUUCGAUCUCGAUGAUGUUGGCAUUUAUGAUAAGGAGGAUAGCAAAGUUGUCAUUGCAUCUAGACAUCGUGGCAUUUGUCGUGAGAUGUGUGUUGAUCAUAUCAUCAAUGUACCUCGACUCUCAGAUGAUGAUGCUUGGAAUCUUUUUGAGGAAAGGUUGGGUCGGAAGUUGAAUUCAGAUUUUAAACCGUUAGCUCUCCAAGUCAUUAAGGAGUGUGAUAACUUGCCACUUUUGAUUGAUAAAGUGGCAAGAGCUUUUAGGAGGAAAGAUGAGAUCCUUUUGUGGGAGGCUG
rnacentral:lncRNA from 1 species